rnacentral:lncRNA from 12 species
GUGUUUGGAAUAUUAUGUAUAUCAUUGGUGUAUGUGCCACUGUAAUUGCAGCUGGAUUUGGGCUAUUUUUUCUCAUCAUCAUUAUCAUUAUGUACAAAAGGAAGAAGAUAAAAAAUAAUGACUCUCAGGACACUGACAACCAUUUAAAUGGCUCUCAGGACAUUGAGCAAAAAAAGACAUCUGCUGGAAAUGCCUCUGAAUCUGGAGAUGAUGACAAGAUACUUUAUGCUUCUGUCAAGUGUCGCAAAAAAAAAGACACAAAGAAACCUGAAGAGGAUGAGAUCCUGUACGCCAGCGUUACAGUUCGCCAACCUGCUACUGAAGCCAAAUCUACGGUGGGUCAAGAGAAUGAUUUGUCUGUGAUUUACAGCAGCAUCAAAAUAUCUGCUUAA